UUGGAGGGAGUAGUCGGAAAGUGCAGCGGCGUCCAGGUCGUCGUGCCGGAGUAGUAGGUUUGACGACUUCAAGUUUCCAUGGGUGAGGCUGUGUGCCGCAUGUAGGUACGCCACCCCUCGCGCUGCCGAUAGUGCGGCACACUUCCGCAUGUUCCAGUCCAUCGGUGUCCGGCCAGAGCCGCCGCUACCUAUAGUAAAAUAAAUGCACUGUUAGAAUUUUUCAUAUAGAGACAUGCAUCAUAUGCAGCAAAAAGGCAUAGUCCCUUCAUACCACAAUGUAGUGUCUAUAGAUUUUUUUUAAAGAUUAAGUAUGUACAGAAAUAUCUAUAUUUAGAAUACCAAAUACAUAUCACUAGAAAAACUGUGAGAUAUAUUUAAUAUUUUAUAUGUUUUGUUUUGUAGAUGAACUUGGUUAAAAUUUGCCGAGUUUAUAUUUCUUAAACUUUUUUUAUAGGCGCUACCUUAGGGAAUGGAGGGAGUAGCAUUUUUCCAACAUUUUGAGAAAGUCCAAUUUUACUUUUUUUGCAAAAGCGUGCAGUACAAGUAUACUACUCUACUUCCUUUAUCUGGAUUUUUGUAGCCUAGGUCCAAAUUUUCCUAAACUUUAGGCUAGUAAAACAUGACUUAUAAAUUUGGGACCAAGUUUCACAAUCAUCAAGGACCGAAGAACAACAUGCCAGCAUCCAUGUGCGGCAGAAAGUAAAAGAAAUCGGCAUAUUCAACUGCCAAAAAGUAGGAGUUAUAUGCAAAAAAAAUUAUAUUACUGGGUUCAUAUUGAAAAAUAUUUUCAAUAAUAUACUUUUUGUGGUGAAUAAACCAUAAUUUAGUCAAAAUUAGGAUGAAAUUUGGGAUCAAAAUACGAAGUAACCAAUAGACAUGAAUAGGUGAAAUAUGAGACACGUGUGUCCAUGGAAUUAAUAGCGAUGCAAAAAUAUACAGAAUUUCAGCAGCAUAGUAACUUACACUAGUUUGACGUGUGUGUGUCAAUGGAGCUUCUAUGUACACAUACUUGUAUGGAAUUGCAUUUUGUAGUGGAGCAUGUAUGUACCGACUAAGAACCAGCCCUUCAUUCCCUUUAAGAUCCGUGCAUUUUGGACUCAUAUGCAUAUCACAUUCAAUAUAUUUGCUUUUCCUUUUAUAAGAUAUAACAAGUUUAGGUCAUAUCAUAGGGUUUCACUAGAGACAAGGACGUAAUGUGCAUGCAUGACUCUGCCAUUCUCCAUUCCCCUCCCAUUGAAGGCACUAGCAUUAUUUUUUCUUAGUGUUUUUAUUAUAUGAUUCAUACUUUUCAAACUAGAAUUCGGUUGUUCGAAAAAAACAUAUUUGAAAUCCUCAUGACAACGUCUUUCAAACAAGAUAAAAAAUGGAUGUAUUUUAAACUCAUUUAGUUUUGUUGUUUCACAAAAUUUAUUGGAAUUGAAAUGGUUAUAAUUUUUUAAUUGAUUCUUCUGUUGAUUGGAAUUGAAAUGAAUUUCGUAUAUCACUUUAUGUUAUGCAUUUCGAUAACUUAGUUACCUGAUGCAUUUAAGUUACAAAAUCAUUUUGUUACUUGAUGCAUUCCGGUAACGAAUGAUUCGCUAUCAAAUUAGUUUACCAGUAUAUGAAUUUCAAUACCAGAUUGAUUUCAAUUACCAUACCACUUUUAGUACCAUAUUCAUUUCAAUAACAUGCACAUAAUUCAAUUUUAAUACUAUUUUAAACAUACAUUUACAAAAAUUAGUACCAUGUCCAUUUCUAUAACAUAAAAGGGAAAUACAAAUGAUAAAUUUCACUACCAGAUGCAUUUCGACACUAGAGCAUUUCAAUACCAUAUCACUUUGUUACCAAGUCCAUUUGAAUACCAUAUGCUUCAGUGCCAAAUUACUUUGUUAUGAGUUGCAUUUCAAUACUAGAUGUGUUUCGAUUAGUAGAUCACUUUUUUUUAAAUACCGUAACACUUUUAGCAUCUUAUCAAUUUCAAUAACAUGCAUCUAUUUUCAAUUUCAGAACAUUUAUAAAAAUAACGAUAUUUUUUCGAUAUUUAAAAUAUAUGUUUAAACAAAAUAUUGAUUAUAUAUUUUUUAUAAAUACUUUUAACUAAUGGGAUAUAGAAAUAUGAAACACAAAUUUCACAAUCACAACUGUCAAUGUGAAACUGAAGUAGUGUAAAUUAAAUGACUUUUGAAAUGUACCAAAAAUUGACCUUGUCCAAAAGGUCUUGUCACCGGGAAUUAAAAUAUUUACAAAGAUAUAAAAAAAAUGAAUUUUGGUUCGAAAGUUAUGAUUGAUUUAAAAUAUCACUUUGCUUGAGGAAGAAUAGAAAUCGUGAACGCAACGUCCUUCCCUGCACCCUAUAUUUCUCUGUUUUGACACAGUGACAAAAGGCUGACAUGAACCAUGCAUAUUCUCAUGCAUUGCUUCUUUUAUGGCUCUAAAAAGUUUUGAAUGUGGAUCUUUACCCGGUACAUGCAUGCUCCCCUGUGAAGGAUUUUGGCAUAUUUGUAUUUUUAUGCUAGCAAACAUAUGUUAACAUUUGUAUGCUACUGUGCGUUGAAAGCAGGCUGGAAAAAGGACAUACUAUUAGGCUAAUCAAGCAGCAGGGCCGCAGGCUGCAAUUCAAAGUCCUCAAACUUUGACCGAGUUUUAUAUAUAAAUAUAAAUCACGCUAAUCCGGGUAGACCAGACUAGACAAAGAAAAUGGAAUCUUCAGGGUGCCAUCACGGAGAUGACCGACGGCUGCCGAGCCAUACGUUCAUCUGUGCGUCCCUUUCGAAUGAUUUGGAGCUACCAAGAUUUUUCUGUACCCUCAGAAACGGUAGCCAAAUGCAAUCGCUAUGAUUGCCACCUUUCAAUCCCAUUCAUACGACUGGGACCAGGAAAAAUUGCCGGACAAGCGCGCAAACAUCGCUGUCCUGAGUAAUCCACCGGAGUUUCACUCCAUUCCUUGUUGAUGCGAACCACGGCAAUGGCGGUCAAAACGACCAACUAGCUAGCAGCGAAUCGAUCAAUGCGGUAACUAAUGGCGCUGUCACUGGCGAGCGCGGGUCACUAUGAGCUAAUGAUGUGGUGAGAGGGGAUGGCCGGAUAGAGCAGGAUACUGACCGUGGAGCGCGGCGGAGAGGCUGCCGUCGGGCAGGAAGUCGGCGACGAGGAGCUUCUCGUCGCUGGAGUAGUAGUAGCCGCGGACGGGGAGCAGGUUGCGGUGCUGCACCCGGCCCACCGCCUCCACGGCGGACGCGAACUCCCGCUGCGCCGCCGCCACGUUCUUCAGCCGCUUCACCGCCACCGUCGUCCCGUCCUCCAGCGCCGCCCUGUACGUCGUCCCCGCGACGCCGUUCCCCAGCACCUCCGCCGACGCCCGUAGCAGGUCCUCCAGGUCGAAGCUGUAGCCGCCGCCGCCCAUGAACACCAGCCGGCUCCUCAUCAUCUCCGCCGCG
rnacentral:lncRNA from 1 species